CCUACGGGAGGCAGCAGUGAGGAAUAUUGGUCAAUGGACGAGAGUCUGAACCAGCCAAGUAGCGUGAAGGAUGACUGCCCUAUGGGUUGUAAACUUCUUUUAUAAAGGAAUAAAACGAGGCACGUGUGCCUUUUUGCAUGUAAUUUAUGAAUAAGGAUCGGCUAACUCCGUGCCAGCAGCCGGGGUAAUAAGGAGGAUCCGAGCGUUAUCCGGAUUUAUUGGGUUUAAAGGGAUGUUAGAUGGGUUGUUAAGUCAGUUGUGAAAGGUUGCGGCUCAACCGUAAAAUUGCAAUUGAUACUGGCAGUCUUGAGUACAGUUGAGGUAGGCGGAAUGCGUGGUGUAGCGGUGAAAUGCUUAGAUAUCACGAAGAACCCCGAUUGCGAAGGCAGCUUACUAAACUGUGACUGACAUUGAUGCUCGAAAGUGUGGGUAUCAAACAGGAUUAGAUACCCGUGUAGUC
rnacentral:rRNA from 1 species